GUCCACGCCCUAAACGAUGUCAACUGGUUGUUGGACGGCUUGCUGUUCAGUAACGAAGCUAACGCGUGAAGUUGACCGCCUGGGGAGUACGGCCGCAAGGUUGAAACUCAAAGGAAUUUACGGGGACCCGCACAAGCGGUGGAUGAUGUGGUUUAAUUCGAUGCAACGCGAAAAACCUUACCUACCCUUGACAUGUCUGGAAUUUUGCAGAGAUGUGAAAGUGCUCGAAAGAGAACCAGAACACAGGUGCUGCAUGGCCGUCGU
rnacentral:rRNA from 1 species